rnacentral:lncRNA from 1 species
GGGCUGCGAAAUCAUUUCGCAGCAAAGUGGCAUUUUCGCAGGGGGCUAUUUUUGGCUGCGAAAUUUCGCAGACCACUGAAUUUUUAUGCUUUUGAGCUCCUCUUGAUUCCCAACUUCCUUCUUUCACUUCUUUUGACAUUCCUCUUGAUUUUGAUCAUCCAAAAACCUAUAUUACAUCAAAACAAAUUAGAAUUAAAGUAUUGAAAUCAAAAUUAAAGUAUUGAAAUCAAAAUUAAAACAAGUAAUAAAUUUAAAGAAAGCAUAGAAUUUAAAUGAAGCUGAUAGCAUGUACCCCAAAAAGAAGAUGAACUAUUUAGCUCAUCCUCACUCACACACCCACUUCAUGCUGAAUUCCCCCUGGAUCCCAAACAAAAUUGGCAUCCUUCCCAUUUAGUCCAUGGGAAUUCAUUUCUCUUCUCUUCCCUGGAGAAGUGGAUGCUUUAAAGGGUUCAAGUAACCCUUUAUCAUCUUGAACCUUAUGAUUUUCAAUGGAAGGUUGGUCCAUAGAGUUGUCAUAGCAAUCCCCCACCAAAGUGUUGAUCAUCAACACUUUCCUUGAUCUUUUUGCAUUGGUUCCUUGAAGGUUAUGGUGGGGUUGAGGAGGAAGCUUCCUUAUUCCCCCUUGCUAUGUCGAGAUUGGUGAGCUUCUCAAUGGAGUCUUGAACUUUUUCUAUCCUUAGUGAUA